rnacentral:rRNA from 1 species
AAGCCAUGCGAGUCGAGAGGUGAAAGACCUCGGCGUACUGCUCAGUAACACGUGGACAACCUACCCUAAGGAGGGGGAUAACCCCGGGAAACUGGGGAUAAUACCCCAUAGACUAGAGAAGCUGGAAUGCUCUCAAGUCCAAAGGUCCGCCGCCUUAGGAUGGGUCUGCGGUCGAUUAGGUCGUUGUUGGGGUAACGGCCCAACAAGCCCGUGAUCGAUACGGGUUGUGAGAGCAAGAGCCCGGAGAUGGAUUCUGAGACACGAAUCCAGGCCCUACGGGGCGCAGCAGGCGCGAAAACUUUACAAUGCGGGAAACCGUGAUAAGGGAACCCCGAGUGCCCGUAAAUUCGGGCUGUCCAUCAGCGUAAAUAACUGGUGAAGAAAGGGCCGGGCAAGACCGGUGCCAGCCGCCGCGGUAAUACCGGCGGCUCGAGUGGUGGCCACUAUUAUUGGGCUUAAAGCGUCCGUAGCUUGGUUGUUAAGUCUCUUGGGAAAUCUACCGGCUCAACCGGUAGGCGUUCAGGAGAUACUGGCAAUCUAGGGACCGGGAGAGGUGAGAGGUACUCCAGGGGUAGGAGUGAAAUCCUGUAAUCCUUGGGGGACCACCUGUGGCGAAGGCGUCUCACUAGAACGGCUCCGACAGUGAGGGACGAAAGCUGGGGGAGCAAACCAGAUUAGAUACCCGGGUAGUCCCAGCUGUAAACGAUGCGCGUUAGGUGUAUCGGUGACCACGAGUCACCGAGGUGCCGAAGGGAAACCGUGAAACGUGCCGCCUGGGAAGUACGGUCGCAAGGCUGAAACUUAAAGGAAUUGGCGGGGGA